UACGAAGGGGGCUAGCGUUGCUCGGAAUUACUGGGCGUAAAGGGUGCGUAGGCGGGUUAUCAAGUUGGAGGUGAAAGCCCAGGGCUCAACCUUGGAAUUGCCUUCAAAACUGAUAGCCUAGAGUAUGGAAGAGGUAAGUGGAACUCCGAGUGUAGAGGUGAAAUUCGUAGAUAUUCGGAAGAACACCAGUGGCGAAGGCGGCUUACUGGUCCAUGACUGACGCUGAGGCUCGAAAGCGUGGGGAGCAAACAGG
rnacentral:rRNA from 1 species